UUAAGUCUUAAAGCACACCAUAACAUCAAACCACUCUCUCCUAGGAUUUGAUAAACUCCAAAACCAGCUUUCCCAGACCCUCUACACCUCCACAAACUUCUGAGCUUUAAAUUUUGAAAUCAUGAUCAUCGUUUUUCUUAUAUUAAAAACAGCUUGGUUUUGAAACUAUCUUUUAAAAAAUUGAUACUUUGAGAAAAAUAUUAUCUCCAAAUUCUCUUCAAAAUAGAUGCUCACAUUAUCUUUAAAUGGUUGUUAAGUGGUUCAGAAAAAAAAAUUUAAAGCUAGCAACAUUAACAGCUUCAGAAAAUAUAAACUGUGUCUCUUUAGAAGAUCAAGUUGUGCUUAAUAGCCUCUACGCCUAAUUUGUUCAGAAUCUGCACAGUCUUUGUCGCUGUAUUUUUGUUAGGAAGGAAGGAGAGGCUGUUUCUACAGGUGCCACAGAAAAAUCGAUGCUGAGCCUCGGAUUAUUGGAUCCCAUAGAACCGUGGAGACUUGGCAGUGAAAUUCUUCCAAAGCAUUCCAUCUGCGCAGGCAGGCAGAGGUGUUCCUGGUUUGGGAAGUAUAAAUCCCGUGGGAAGUCAACUGGAGGACAUUUUACGCGUCACUCAUCCUAUUAUGAGCC
ensembl:lincRNA Rmst rhabdomyosarcoma 2 associated transcript (non-coding RNA)